UUUUUUCUUUGCUUUCUAGAUGGAAGGUUGUCUCGAUUGAAAGCGAAUAUAUAGCACACUAGCAUGCACGGUUUGUAGCACAGGACACUCUUCACGUCUAUCUCGCCUGGUUUCUUCUUUCAAUCUUAAGCAAUCAAGAGUUAUGGCGAAUAUUUCUGGAUUGUGCCUUUUUGUGGCAUCUUUGAUCGCCGUCCUGGUACUGGCCGACUCCGAAGAAACUGGUCGAAUAUACUGGGGGUCACCUGAUCCCGUUGAAGAACAUUAACGCGGAUACCAAAGGAAACGACCGCAAAGCCCAAUACAAAUGGCAAUGAUAAAAAGACAAUAAACAUGAACAUUUGAACGCAACAUUUUGUUUAUUUGUUAUG